rnacentral:tRNA from 1 species
GAGGGUAGAGCUCAGUGGUAGAGCGUCUGCUUAGCAGGCACGAGGUCCUGAGUUCCAUCCCAGUACCUCCA